rnacentral:lncRNA from 1 species
CUUGAAUGAAUUCUCUAAGUGAACCACUAAUUUGUUUUUACCUUCCUUAAUGUUAAUAGUGCAUUUGUGACAUCACUAAAAUGAUGUAAGCAAGGUAGGUAAAAGACACUCCCCAUAAAGUUGACUGCUGCACUGUUUCUGCAUUGUAGCGUGUGCAUGUAGCAACUUUACAGUUGGGGCAGUUGACUUCUACAAUUUCCUCGGGAAUGAUAGUUAUCCGUUCCCUCUGUUGUUCCUCUGGCUCUGAAGAGUCGAGACAUAUUCCAAGCUGGAACCUUUCGAUCUUAAGGUCUUGAGGAUAUGUAACCGGUUCCUUAUCUGGUUCUUGACAGUAAAUUUGUUAGAUCAUCAAAACAUAAAGCAAGGUACUUGUAACCUAUCAAGUCCCAAUAUGAUUAUGUUUUAGCCAUAACUAUAAGAACACAAAAGAGCUUCUGAGAACGUGCACCUUAUAUUUGAUAGAUGGUGAGGGUAUCAUAUCCAUUUGCAUCAAAAAAAUCAGAGGCAACAUAAAGAUCGAGAGUUGUUGACAUAUUCGACAUUUUUCUGAUCCAUUUCUCUGCAACCAUUUUGCAUAAAGUCACGUUGUACCUGUAAAUGAAAUAUAAUUCAUGCAGAGCUGGGGUCAUAUGAAAGAGAAAACUCAAAUAUAACUAUAAGAAACCAAAUUCUCAGGGUAGGAAUAGAGUGCCCAGAGUAGGAAGAAUACUUUCAUUCUUGCAGCCUCAAUUGCAUUUAGCAUGAUGAUACUCAUAUUUACUCCGUUAAUAUGGUAGUCCUUUUCACACCACUGCAGAAUGGUACACACUCAUCUCAAAAUACUUUUGUGAUUACAAUAUACAAAUGCGUGAACAAAAUUUUAACUUAUUAUAUUAAGAGGAAAGAUAGUACUGGAUCUUGUACUCCACACAUACUACAUAAAAAGCUAAAGAAAAAUUCAUUUUUGAGUCAUUAGUUCACUGCUGCUUCUAUGACCAAAAUUUGGUCUUUACCAAAUGAAAAUAAAUUGGUACGUUAACGUUUACCUUCAUGCAUAUCUGAUUUUACUUUAGAACUCUUAUAUCUCUGCUGCCACAUUAUAUGUCCUCCAACCAAAUUAAAGGUGGCGAGUAAGAUCAUUAGUUGUUGUAACUUCCUCCGGAAUCACUAAAAGGAAACACUUAUUUUCAUCUUCAGAGUGGGAAAAACAGAUGCAUAAAAAAUCAAGCACAGAGAAAGAAAAGUAAAGAAACCCAUGAUAAAUUAAGUCAAAAAUCAAUAAAGGAUACACACAAAAAAAAACGAAAUGAAAGAGGUGAAAAUUCCCAAAAUAAGAAUACAUACCUAUGAAUAAAUGAAAGAGCUUAACAGGAACGAAAGGUGAUGCUAUGAGUGAGACUUGAAG